GGAGACUUUACAAUUAAUAACAAAUUUUGUUAGGCAGCCGCAUUGAAGGCACUGACACUUUCCUCGACAGAAGCGUGCACUGACAUGUUUGCAUUCUAUUCAACAACAGCAUACAUUCCAAGUGACUCGCUAAAACAAUAUUAAAGACCUUGAAACUGGCUCAUGACAGACAGUGUACAUUUAGAUUGGACCUCAUUGGAAAUGGGCUGGCUUCUGGCCUGAUAGGCUUUCCUGAUGCUUAUUACG